rnacentral:lncRNA from 1 species
AGGGGGAGCUCCGCCCCCUCCUCAGGAGCAAUCUGGAUGACGACCUGAAUGCUCCGUGUCUUCAUUGCUGCUGCACUCUUAUCUGUAUUUUACAGAUGACUCACUGUGGCAGAUAAUCUGCUCAGAUGAUGGACGGCUGCCGCGCCGCAGUCACCAGGAGCAGCGGAGCCACCUGGUUUCAGCCAUCCUACACCUCCGCCCGGCCAGUGAAGGCAGGUUGGUGCGUUGGUGCGCGCUUCAAAGCUUCAACUUUGCUUUUAA